rnacentral:rRNA from 1 species
UACGUAAGGUGCAAGCGUUGUCCGGAAUUAUUGGGCGUAAAGAGCUCGUAGGCGGUUUGUCGCGUCUGCUGUGAAAAACUGGAGGCUCAACCUCCAGCCUGCAGUGGGUACGGGCAGACUAGAGUGCGGUAGGGGAGAUUGGAACUCCUGGUGUAGCGGUGGAAUGCGCAGAUAUCAGGAAGAACACCGAUGGCGAAGGCAGAUCUCUGGGCCGUAACUGACGCUGGAGGAGCGAAAAGCAUGGGGAGCGAACAGG